AUUAAAUUAAAAAUUUAUUAAAAAAUCACUACAAAAUUUUGGGUAAAUAUUUGCGGCAAAGUAAAAGUAACAAUGCCAGCGGAAAAACGUAGUCGAAGUAAGAAGAAGCAAGUUACUGGGGACAAAUCUGAAAGAAUUGCUAAACAUGCUGAAAAGAUAGCUGGACUCGUUGUGGGAAAUAAAGACCUUAACGGUGUGUAUUCGGUAUUCCAUCACCAUGUGGAAUCAAGAGAACCAACCAAACCGGACCCCACAAAUCAUCUAAAUGCAAGCAGAAGUACAAAAAAAUGAUAAAAAUUGUUUACUUUUGCCGCAAAUAUUUCACCAAAGUAAAACCAUAUUAAAUAAACAUCAUUUCUCUUUUAAUA